rnacentral:lncRNA from 1 species
UGAAGAACUUUAGGGGGCUCUUCCCAUGUUGAAGAAGCAUGCCAUUGUCCUCUCCAGCACCAAGAGUCUUUGCUUCCCUCAUACUUUUAGAAGUGAUUUCAACACCCCCUACAAGUGAAGGAAAGUGGGGCUCUGUGAGCCUGAGCUCCUCUUAUUUCUGAGGGUUUUUUCCUCCCCCAAAUUCCCCAAAUUGGAUAAGGUAAAGGUGUACUUUUGCUUCCUUUUUGGUAUUAUUAGUUCUUUUUCCAUGACAGAAGAAACUUUGUGAUAUGAACACAGUACUUAAGGAAAACAUGUUUUGGAUUAAUAGAUUAUUUUACAAGGAUAAUGAUCUAAAAUUAUCCUCGCUAUGGUCAUCACCUUUCAAUGCAAGCCCUAAGUUCCAGCCACCUUAAACCUUGACUUUUGCUCACUGCUUCCCUGUUUGGAACAUACCUGUCUCAUUUCCCCACCUGAGUGACUCUCCCUUGUCCUCUGAGACACAUGUGAAGAGGACUCCACACACACCAGAGAGCUCUUUUCUCUAUCCAUGCUGGAAUAGUAACUUCAGUCAAAACAUCCUGAACUUUGCUCUCACAGUGCUGGGGCAGGAGAAAUACAACACAAGCCAUAAAAUCAAGCUUCAUAUGUAACUUUACAUUUUCUAAUUUUAUAUCUCCUAACAGCCAGAUUUUUAAACCUUAAAAAGCAAAAGGUGAAAAUAAUUUUAAUGAUAUAUUUUAUUUUACCCAAUGUAUCAAAAUAUUACCAUUUCUAUAGGUGAUCAUAUGAAUGUUGUUAGUUAGACUGCGGGGGGGGGGGGGGUAGGCGGGGAGGGUUCCAAAUCUUCAACAUCCAGUAUGUAAUUAUAUUUACAGCACAUCUCAAUUCAGGACAUCUCAAUUACAUUCAGCUCGCCACAUUUCAAGCGCUCAAGAGCUACACAAGACUAGCGGCUACCAUUUUGGACAACUCGUCUCUCGGUGGCAGUCUGUGUCACUUGACCAGCACCAAUAGGCAAUCAGAACACAUUUAUAGAAAUUCAGCAGAGGAUAUGCUAAAUUUCAGAAGCUCAAACAGAAAGACCUUUGAAUAGGUUUGGAACUGCACAGAUGAAAUGCGGAAGUGAAUAUACAAAGAGGAAGUAAACAGAACUGCCAAUAUGUGUGAGAAGUAAAAGCUUCUUGAAAUUUUGUUAUGAAGGCCACCGAGAAGAGUUAGCUAUUGGAUGACCUUCACCCAUUGAAGACUCUGAAUAUCUCUGCUUUUCAAGUAGUUUUCUGUAUCUACGGACACCAUCCGAGCUGGAAUUAAUAGCCUGAACAUAGGCAUGAUUUAAUCAAAAUGUCCUUGGUGCCUAGUCCAGCAUUUCAAUUUAAGAAUUGAAAUCCAGUUUCUGCAUUUUAAAAAUCAAAUCCAUUCUCCACGGAGAAUUUUUACAAAACAUCUUGGCACCUGCAAUGCUGAAAAUAGAUCCAGCCCUAUUUAAGAGAAAGUAACAGCAAAUCGGGGAUUUGUGUGAUGGCAGUAAAAUGCAGUUAAGUGUGGUCGUGCCAGGUUUUAGUCUAGAGACAGAGGGUUUUUAUAGCACAUUAUAAACUCCUGAAACGGGAGGUUA